rnacentral:rRNA from 1 species
UUUGAAACUGUUGGACCUUGAGAGAUGGAGAGGGAGAGGGAAUUUCUUGUGUAGCGGUGGAAUGCGUAGAUAUUAGGAGGAACACCGGAGGCGAAGGCGGUCUUCUGGACAUCAACUGACGCUCAUGUACGAAAGCGUGGGGAGCAAACAGGAUUAGAUACCCUGGUAGUCCACGCCGUAAACGAUGACAGUUAGGAGUCGGGGGUCAAACCUCGGUUCCGUCGCUAACACAAUAAACACUCCGCCUGGGGAGUACGCGCGCAAGCGUGAAACUCAAAUGAAUUGACGGGGGCCCGCACAAGCAGCGGAGCAUGUGGUUUAAUUCGAAGCAACGCGAAGAACCUUACCUGGCCUUGACAUAUGGGUAACAUAUCUAGAGAGAGAUCCCUCUCUUCGGAGAUAGCCAUCCAGGUGGCGCAGGGUUGUUCUCAGUUGGUGUCGUGGGAGGUGGGGUUAAUUCCCCCACCGAGGGCACCCCUUUCCUCUAUUUCCCACCACUUAGGCUGGGGACUCUAGUGAGACUGCCGGUGAUAAACCGGAGGAAGGUGGGGAUGACGUCAAAUCAUCAUGCCCUUUGUGUUCUGGGCUACACACGUGCUACAAUGGUGGGUACAGAGGGCAGCAAGACUGCGAAGUUGAGUGGAACUCACAAAGCCGCUCCCAGUUCGGAUUGUAGUCUGCAACUCGCCUCCAUGAAGUCGGAGUUGCUAGUAAUCGCAAAUCAGAAUGUUGCGGUGAAUGCGUUCCCGGGCCUUGCACUCACCGCCCGUCA